AACAGUGUGGCGUAGUGGUAAGGCGCAGGGCUUGUAACCAAAAGGUUGCUGGUUCAAUGCCCCACUGAGG